rnacentral:rRNA from 1 species
GACGAACGCUGGCGGCGUGCUUAACACAUGCAAGUCGAACGGAAAGGCCCUGCUUUUGUGGGGUGCUCGAGUGGCGAACGGGUGAGUAACACGUGAGUAACCUGCCCUUGACUUUGGGAUAACUUCAGGAAACUGGGGCUAAUACCGGAUAGGAGCUCCUGCUGCAUGGUGGGGGUUGGAAAGUUUCGGCGGUUGGGGAUGGACUCGCGGCUUAUCAGCUUGUUGGUGGGGUAGUGGCUUACCAAGGCUUUGACGGGUAGCCGGCCUGAGAGGGUGAACGGCCACAUGGGGACUGAGAUACGGCCCAGACUCCUACGGGAGGCAGCAGUGGGGAAUAUUGCACAAUGGGCGGAAGCCUGAUGCAGCAACGCCGCGUGCGGGAUGACGGCCUUCGGGUUGUAAACCGCUUUCGCCUGUGACGAGGCGUGAGUGACGGUAAUGGAUAAAGAAGCACCGGCUAACUACGUG